GAUGAAGAACGCAACGAAAUGCGAUAAGUAAUGCGAAUUGCAGAAUUCAGUGAGUCAUCGAAUCUUUGAACGCACAUUGCGCCCUGUGGUAUUCCGCAGGGCAUGCCUGUUCGAGCGUCAUUUCAACCCUCAAGCUCUGCUUGGUGUUGGGCCCUGCCCGCUGCGGCCGGCCCUAAAGACAGUGGCGGUGCCGCCUGGCCCUGAGCGUAGUACAUCUCUCGCUCCAGUGCCCGGUGGUAGCCUGCCAGAACCCCAACUCUCGUGGUUGACCUCGGAUCAGGUAGGGAUACCCGCUGAACUUAAGCAUAUCAAUAAGCGGAGGA
rnacentral:misc_RNA from 1 species